CACGUAGGGUGCGAGCGUUGUCCGGAAUUAUUGGGCGUAAAGAGCUCGUAGGCGGCUUGUUGCGUCGAUCGUGAAAACUUGUGGCUCAACCAUGAGCUGGAGGUCGAUACGGGCGGGCUGGAGUUCGGUAGGGGAGACUGGAAUUCCUGGUGUAGCGGUGAAAUGCGCAGAUAUCGGGAGGAACACCUAUGGCGAAGGCAGCUCGCUGGGACGUUACUGACGCUGAGACGCGAAAGCGUGGGGAGCAAACAGG
rnacentral:rRNA from 1 species